GUUCCAGCAUAUGGCAGUAAAUUUGGAAACACCGACACUACCAGGCCAAGUUACAGGGUUGGGUCCCAAUGCUCGAAGGGAGAACUCACCCACGACCAGUUCACGGACAUCCUUCCAGUGCAGUUCGCUGCCUUUCUCGUGGAUGAGAGUCACUGUGAUCCUGCGCUGGAUCCCCUGCAGCCAGUAUGACGCACAUUGGGUUAUGAACAGGCACGGAAGAGUGCUCCAACAAAAGUGAAAUUUCCACUCCAUGAUUUAGAAGAGGCAUUUCCAUACCUGAUGAAGCAAGUAAGUGCCAUGACAGGGCAGUCCUCCACUGUGAUCGACAACAGCUGGGAUGUACCUGUGACGAUGGGGGAAAGUUAUCUUGGGCUCAAAUUAACUUCCAAUCACAAAAAUCUACAGAAUUGUCCAUGUAGGUUUAAUAUUAUGGCUCAUUAUGAGUUCAUUGUCUGUGUAAUCUUAACAGGUGAGUUGUGAAGAAGGGCUUGUCAAUGGACUUUGUUGCUGUUAAAAGCAUAUUGAUUUCAUGUAAAGUAUAGACCUAGUCUUUUUUAGACUUACUCUCCAGUGGGCUCAAGUUCGCUGAUCUCAAACCACACUAGCAGGUCGUACUUGCUGAUGCUCUGACCCAGGUAGGACUUGGUGAAGGUGUUCAGCUUUGUGGCUGGAACUAAUUAAAAAUAAACACAACAAGACAAAAUAGAUAUCUUAGAAUAACAAACUAAAAGACUGAAAUACUGUACAACAACAAUUGGAAGUUUACAAUGGUAAGAUCACACCAUUAGACAAUACUCAAAAAAGUGUGUUUAGCAUAGAUCUAUGUAAAGUAUACAACCUACAAAGAACUUUUUGAAUACAAAAUAUUGCUUUUAAAUGUAACAAAAAACUAAAUUCAAAUUGACUCUGAAACUAAACCACAUCUUACACCAGUUAUUGCUUCCUGCUGUCAGCACAUCAGGAUUAUCUUUAGUUUAACAGGCUAAUCUUUGCAGCUCAGGUACAUGUAGUCUGCUAUGUUCAUGUUCAAUGAAACUAAUACAGCUCCAAAUGAAAAGUACUAUAAUGAGACAGGCAAUGAUCACAGAAAAGCGUUAAGCCUCCGUGUAGUGGCUGGUGUUUUGUCAGUGAUCCUUCAUGAUUCUGACAAAUACUUCUUUGUAAUAUUUUGGAUUUGGUAUAUUCAGCAGCUAAGCUUAGUAAAAAUAUGACAUUAAAUGCAUCAAACAUCAGUAAUGCAGAGUUACACUGUUAUUCUUUAUUGCACACUUUCAUGUUAUGUAAUUGCAAAGUUGAUUCAGUUAUAAAUUGUGUUUAGCUUGUUUAUAGAGCUUGCUGAGACCAUCUGAGCAUAGACGAAAUAAAAUAAAUUGUAAAAUGUGUUGUGGCCAUAAAUGAAAAGAACAGCACACUCCUACAGCAAUGAGAGACAUCUUUAGGCAUUUAAAGACUUAUGACCGAAGAAAAUUAUAAACAACUAGAUAUGAUUAAACAUCACAUUUAUGUUUAUUAUUGAGUAACAGACCCAGAUGACCGAACAGUAAAAUAUCACUGGCUUUAUA